UCUGAAUCAUUAUAUGUAAAUGAAACUAAAUUAAAUAUACUUUGGUAAAUAUAUACUUGCCAAAUACUUUUCCAGUGGUUACUUUAAAACAUUUUUUGGAACAAGUGGAAUUAUUGAAGACUGGAGUAUGCCUCAUAUCAGGGGACUUUAACUGCAUUUUGGACCCCUUUUUGGAUAAAAAGCUUGCUAACAACACAAGCAUGAAUAGUUCGGUAGUUA